rnacentral:rRNA from 1 species
CAAGUCGAACGCGAAAGUCCCCUUCGGGGGGCGAGUAGAGUGGCGCACGGGUGAGUAACACGUAGGUAAUCUACCUUUGGAUGGGGAAUAACAACCGGAAACGGUUGCUAAUACCGCAUAAUGCAGCGGCACCUAAUGGUGACAGUUGUUAAAGCGGGGGAUCGCAAGACCUCGCGUCUGAAGAGGAGCCUGCGGCAGAUUAGCUAGUUGGUAGGGUAACGGCUUACCAAGGCGAUGAUCUGUAGCCGGCCUGAGAGGGCGGUCGGCCACACUGACACUGACAUACGGGUCAGACUCCUGCGGGAGGCAGCAGUCGGGAAUUUUGGGCAAUGGGCGAAAGCCUGACCCAGCAACGCCGCGUGAAGGAUGAAAUCCCUCGGGAUGUAAACUUCGCAAGAACGGGAAGAAUAAGUAAGAGUUAAUAUCUCUUAUGAUGACGGUACUGUUUGUAAGCUCCGGCUAACUCCGUGCCAGCAGCCGCGGUAAUACGGGGGGAGCAAGCGUUGUUCGGAUUUACUGGGCGUAAAGGGCGCGUAGGCGGCCACCGCAAGUCGACUGUGAAAUCUCCGGGCUUAACUCGGAAAGGUCAGCCGAUACUGCGGGGCUAGAGUGCAGAAGGGGCAACUGGAAUUCUCGGUGUAGCGGUGAAAUGCGUAGAUAUCGAGAGGAACACCUGCGGCGAAGGCGGGUUGCUGGGCUGACACUGACGCUGAGGCGCGAAAGCUAGGGGAGCGAACGGGAUUAGAUACCCCGGUAGUCCUAGCCUUAAACGAUGAAUGCUUGGUGUCUGGGGUUUUAUAGUCCCCGGGUGCCGUC